ACUACACACAGACAGAAAAGCACCCAGUGAACAGUGCCUUCAUUUCUCGAAUUUCCUGCUUUCUGUCAACAUGCAUCACACAGUUACAUGCUCUUCCUGUGGUUGCAAUCAGUUUAUCUUUGCAUUCUGCUGUUUUAAAAUUUAACGCCCAUUUCUGUGGAUUGGCAUAGCCCACAUUCUUGUGAAUCACCCACAGUGAUUCCUGCAGUGUUGUCCCCAGCCUCAAGCCUCUCUGCACCGUAAUUGUGCUUCUUUUCCUCAGAUACCUGCCUUGCAUUGGCCCUGGGUAAAUGUUUCCCUUGGCUGUGAAUAGGCAAUUAAAAUUCUGAACCUUUUAUGGCUCUGGAAGCUUAUCCCAUGAAACAAUACUCAUCCAGGCGGAUGGCCCACCAGCGCAAAGGGCUGAGGCCGCUGUAAGCCAAGGUACGCAACGCUUGCUAAACAGGAAUCCCUGGAAUGAAUCCAUGCAUGAGGCCUUUGUGCCAUGUGACAGUUGAAGGCUGUGGUGACCCCUGAACCGUCCCACUCCGAGACGCCUUAACACCGUUUUUCUGCUGUUACAAACCACAGAGCAACGCGUGUGCCUCCUCCCGCCCUGGGGACUCUUUCUAUGGGAGAGGUGCCUGGAUUUAGAGGAGCGACCACUCUUCAUUUGUAGGGACUCUCCCUAGCCUGGGAGCCCUUCAGCUCCCACUCCAGAGUGGUUGUUGGUGGUAAUACGCCAGGCCUGGGGAAGCAGGAGUGGGAAGGUGUGAGAGGUGGGGGAGUGUGGUUGUCAACUGUUCUGAUUUUCCACCAGGAUCUUGGUCACUUUCCCAGUUGUCACUCGGCCCACAAACUAGGAUGUGAGCAGCAUAUUGAGAAUCUGCAGAGAUGUUCCCGUCUGCCCAGCAUAUGGAUGUCCUUCUGGGCUGCGAAGUGGCAUCCUGUGGGCAACUCCCCCCACAACAACCAGCUGUGAGCUGUGCCCAGGCACAGAGGGACCUGGCUUUCCCUGUUUCUGCAGAUGGAGCCCAGGGUUUCAGGGAGGGAGGGGGCAGGCUGGGACCUGUUGGGGAUCUGGGCACUUUCUCAUGCUCCUUGAGCUGCAAGUCAUAGAAGGAGUGGGGUGGGAGCUGGGAAUGUACCUUCCCAAGGCCACUGGCAGAACCAGCAGGCCCUUUGCUCUGGGAUGAGCUCCCUCUGAGGGGUGGGGACAGUAAAGCGGACCGAAGUCCCUGUUCUGCGGGAUGGAAACUGGCUCCCCUCCAUUGUACAGGCCAGCUCUGGGGAUUUGGGCAGCAGAUUUGGGGUUGACAGCAGAAUGACAUGAUCACCAGUUGACCUUGGCCAGGAUGCCAGCUUACUUUCUCGCUUACUUCUGCAGGUUCUUUGUUCUGCGGGUGAGUCACCCAGGUCCUGCCCUCCGUGCCUGUCUGCCCUCUCCCACUUUCCCUGCCCUGAGCUUGUUCCCACUUGUAGAUUUGGCAGGUCACUGCCAAGGCCCCUCUGCCCCCAACAUGGCCAGUGCCCUAAGGGUGGGUUGUACAGGGAGGAGCUGGCGUGGUCAGUAGACUUGAAUCAGGGACAGCUCGGCUGCUGAAGGCUGAGGGGGCCUUGCAGGGCUGCAGGUGCCUUGUGCACACAGGGAGUGGGUAGAGAAGGCAACCAGGGGCUCCUUCAGGCCUUAAUGCUCUGCAGCCCAGUGAGGCUGUGCCCAGAGAGUCUGGUGAGGCCCUGGUCUGCUCCCCCAGCCAAUGGCCUGAUGCUGUUCCAUCUGGGCACCCUGUCACUUUUCGUUCAUCAGGGAGUACAGGGUGAUUCAGGGUCUCAAAUGCAGGUGUUCACAAAAUGAAAUAGAACUUCCCUUUAUCCCCGUGCUUCUUUUUAUUUUUAUAACAAAUUACAUCGUUAUAUUUUAUUUUUAUAUUUAUGUAUUUUAUAUAUAUGUGACAUCUACUACAUGACAGAAAAUAUUUAUGGCCAGGCAAGGUGGCUUACACCUAUAAUGCCAGCACUUUGGGAGGCUGAGGCAGGCGGAUCACCUGAGGUCGAGAGUUGGAGACCAGUGUGACCAACAUGGAGAAACCCCGUCUCUACUAAAAAUACAAAAUUAGCCGGGGGUGGUGGCGCAUGCCUGUAAUCCCAGCUACUCGGGAAGCUGAGGCAGGAGAAUCGCUUGAACCGGGGAGGCGGAGGUUGUGGUGAGCCGAGAUUGCACCAUUGCACUCCAGCCUGGCAACAAGAGAUAAACCCCGUCUCAAAAAAAAAAAAGAAAAAAGAAAAAAAAAAGAAAAAAAUAUUUAUAAUGUAACUAAUAUAGCUAAAAUAAAAUGUAAUUUCAGUCUCAAGCCUUCAUUCUGUUAAGGGGACAGAAACUUAAUCUUGGUCAUCUUGGGGUCUCCCUCCCUGGGGCUGUGCCUGACUUCCAGGGGGCUCGGCAUUGGCAGGAUUUCUGGUGCUUGAGGUCACCUGUCAGCCUGUCUCUUGUCAUUGGCUAUCCGCCGUGCCAUCCGCUCCUGUGUGUCCUUGGCACUGUUCACAUGUCUCCAGCUCGCUGGCUUUCUCUGCCACCUUGGAGCCACUCCUGGGUGCACAGGAGUCUUACUGCUCCCACGCUGUGCUGGGGCCUGGGAAGACUGCUGUGGCCUACCUGCCUCCGUGUAGCACACACACCCAUUUCUUCUUCUUCUUCUCCUUCUCCUUCUUCAGACAGAGACUCACUCUGUCACCUAGGCUGGACUGCAGUGGUGCCAAAUUGGCUCACUGCAACCUCCGCCUCCCGGGUUCAAGCGAUUCUCCUGCCUCAGUCUCCCGAGUAGCUGGGAUUACAGGC